CUUCAUCGUUGUCGCGCCUGUCUUUCAGACUCUCUAACAAACUCAGUUCUUCCUUUUUAGACACGAAAAGCAGCACGCCAGACUCCUCGAAUGUCUCUCUCAAGGCGCAAAUCCGGAAUGCGACCUCUCCCGGUAUAGGAGCACUAUGCCACGCCAGGCUGGUCACCCUGAUCCCAAAAUCUGUAAGGGAGUAUUCCUAUCUGAUGGAAGCUUCCUGCUCCUCGGUCACCUUUACUUGUGGACCACCGUGAUGGUGCCCAAGCCCUCAUCCUUUUCCAUUAUCACUCUGAGCUUUGACGAGAGCCCUGUGCUACACCGAGCUGGGCACCCUGAUCCCAAAAUCUGGAGGGGAGUAUUCCUCUCUGAUGGAGGCUUUCGACUCCCUGCUGGCCUACCUGUACUCGUGGGCCACCGUGAUGGUGUCCAAGCCCUCAUCCUUUUCCAUCAUCACCCUGUGCUUUGCCAAGUUUACUCCUCGUUUCUAUCCUGAAUGCAACCCUCAUGUUAUUAUCACCAAAGUGUCUGGCGGCUGCAGCUAAAAGUAACGUUGAUUUCUGCGCAUAACCACUGGCAACACAAACAAUAGUGCUUAUGGAGUGAUAAAUACUGGAGACACCGCUC